rnacentral:lncRNA from 1 species
CCCCAACACCCGGCCUUGGGGGCACCCCAAAACAAGGGGACCCCCCAACGUCCGUCUUUGGGGUCCUCCCACCCCUCUCCCAUGAGAAGGGGACCCCCAACACCCGGCCUUGGGGGCACCCCAAAACAAGGGGACCCCCCAACGUCCGCCUUUGGGGUCAUGCCAUGACAAGGGGAACCCCAAAACCCAAUCCUGGGGACACCCCAGGGCGAGGGGACCCCAACGUCCACCCCUCUGGGGCCAUCCCAACCCCCCCACCCCGUAACAAGGGGACCCCAACAUCCCCUUUUGGGGUCAACCCAUGACAACGGGACCCCAAAA